rnacentral:rRNA from 1 species
AGAGUUUGAUCAUGGCUCAGAUUGAACGCUGGCGGCAUGCUUUACACAUGCAAGUCGAACGGCAGCACGGGUGCUUGCACCUGGUGGCGAGUGGCGGACGGGUGAGUAAUACAUCGGAACGUGUCCUGAAGUGGGGGAUAACGCAUCGAAAGAUGUGCUAAUACCGCAUAUACUCUGAGGAGUAAAGUAGGGGAUCGAAAGACCUUAUGCUUUUGGAGCGGCCGAUGUCUGAUUAGCUAGUUGGUGGGGUAAUUGCCUACCAAGGCGACGAUCAGUAGUUGGUCUGAGAGGACGGCCAGCCACACUGGGACUGAGACACGGCCCAGACUCCUACGGGAGGCAGCAGUGGGGAAUUUUGGACAAUGGGCGAAAGCCUGAUCCAGCCAUGCCGCGUGCAGGAUGAAGGCCUUCGGGUUGUAAACUGCUUUUGUACGGAACGAAAAGACUCCUUCUAAUAAAGGGGGUCCAUGACGGUACCGUAAGAAUAAGCACCGGCUAACUACGUGCCAGCAGCCGCGGUAAUACGUAGGGUGCAAGCGUUAAUCGGAAUUACUGGGCGUAAAGCGUGCGCAGGCGGUUAUAUAAGACAGAUGUGAAAUCCCCGGGCUCAACCUGGGAACUGCAUUUGUGACUGUAUAGCUAGAGUACGGUAGAGGGGGAUGGAAUUCCGCGUGUAGCAGUGAAAUGCGUAGAUAUGCGGAGGAACACCGAUGGCGAAGGCAAUCCCCUGGACCUGUACUGACGCUCAUGCACGAAAGCGUGGGGAGCAAACAGGAUUAGAUACCCCGGUAGUCCAA